ACUCCUACGGGAGGCAGCAGUGGGGAAUAUUGGACAAUGGGCGCAAGCCUGAUCCAGCCAUGCCGCGUGAGUGAUGAAGGCCCUAGGGUUGUAAAGCUCUUUCACCGGUGAAGAUAAUGACGGUAACCGGAGAAGAAGCCCGGGCUAACUUCGUGCCAGCAGCCGCGGUAAUACGAAGGGGGCUAGCGUUGUUCGGAUUUACUGGGCGUAAAGCGCACGUAGGCGGACUAUUAAGUCAGGGGUGAAAUCCCGGGGCUCAACCCCGGAACUGCCUUUGAUACUGGUAGUCUUGAGUUCGAGAGAGGUUAGUGGAAUUCCGAGUGUAGAGGUGAAAUUCGUAGAUAUUCGGAGGAACACCAGUGGCGAAGGCGGCUCACUGGCUCGAUACUGACGCUGAGGUGCGAAAGCGUGGGGAGCAAACAGGAUUAGAUACCCCGGUAGUCCC
rnacentral:rRNA from 1 species